rnacentral:rRNA from 1 species
GGGUUGUGAGGUUAAGCGACUAAGCGUACACGGUGGAUGCCCUGGCAGUCAGAGGCGAUGAAGGACGUGCUAAUCUGCGAUAAGCGUCGGUAAGGUGAUAUGAACCGUUAUAACCGGCGAUUUCCGAAUGGGGAAACCCAGUGUGAUUCGUCACACUAUCAUUAACUGAAUCCAUAGGUUAAUGAGGCGAACCGGGGGAACUGAAACAUCUAAGUACCCCGAGGAAAAGAAAUCAACCGAGAUUCCCCCAGUAGCGGCGAGCGAACGGGGAGCAGCCCAGAGCCUGAAUCAGUGUGUGUGUUAGUGGAAGCGUCUGGAAAGGCGCGCGAUACAGGGUGACAGCCCCGUACACAAAAAUGCACAUGCUGUGAGCUCGAUGAGUAGGGCGGGACACGUGGUAUCCUGUCUGAAUAUGGGGGGACCAUCCUCCAAGGCUAAAUACUCCUGACUGACCGAUAGUGAACCAGUACCGUGAGGGAAAGGCGAAAAGAACCCC